rnacentral:sRNA from 2 species
GGGGAAUUUCUUUCUGAGCUUCCAGAUUACUCCCGAUGACCUUGUAUCUGUGACUAAUUCCCCGUCGCCAAUGCCCCGCCACGGCCUUCGACGGGGCGUCAGCGGCCACUCCGCUUUCCCGAGUGAAGAUGGAGCUUCCGCCUCAACUCCAUCAAAUGACCGACCCCACCGCCAUCCCAACUUCGAGCCUCCGGUUCCUGCCCGGAACCCGCGCGCGGAAAUAUUUCCUGCAAACGAUGGGCAUCCUCGUCUGCAUAAUUUACCCAUUGGUGGCGACCCUGACCUCGCAGACACGGAGGAGGACCUAGGGGAGAGUGGGGAGGAGCAUGAUGACGAAGAUGAAGAUGAUGUCGAUAUUGACAUCGAGGACGAGGAGGGUGAUGAUGAUGAGGAAUUGAGGCAUGAGGAGGGCGAGGUAGAGAUGGAGGGUCAGGAAUAUGAUGAUUACGAUGAAAGGCACACCGCUCCCCCCAUCCCCGCCAACCUGCGCGAGAUCUCCUCUCUAGCUUCCUGGACAGUAUCAACACAUAAACCAGGUUGCGGCAUCGCAGCCCUCCGCCACCCAUCCCCCUCCCAGUUCUGGCAAUCCGACGGGCCCCAGCCACACACGCUCACGCUGCAUUUUUUCAAACGCGUUGCCAUCGUCCGCAUCCGCGUGUAUCUCGACUUCGAACUCGAUGAGAGUUACACACCUACCAAAAUGAUAUUCCUGGCUGGCAUGGGCGGUAACGAUCUUGUGGAGUUCGCGACAUGGCAGGG